rnacentral:misc_RNA from 1 species
UUGCUUUAUUUGAUAUUUCAUUCAGACGACAGAUUCAAGGGUUUGAGAUGUCUUCUGACGGAUGAACCCGCCAAAGAAACAAGGUGAUAGACAACAUGGGGUUAACCGGUUCCACGGGUGUUAAACCGCGGCCCGUAACAUUAAUGAUCCUUCCGCAGGUUCACCUACGGAAA